rnacentral:rRNA from 1 species
UACGUAGGGGCGAGCGUUGUCCGGAAUGAUUGGGCGUAAAGGGCGCGUAGGCGGUUGAUUAAGUCUGAUGUGAAAGCCCACGGCUUAACCGUGGAGGGUCAUUGGAAACUGGUCGACUUGAGUGCAGAAGAGGGAAGUGGAAUUCCAUGUGUAGCGGUGAAAUGCGUAGAGAUAUGGAGGAACACCAGUGGCGAAGGCGGCUUCCUGGUCUGUAACUGACACUGAGGCGCGAAAGCGUGGGGAGCAAACAGGAUUAGAUACCCUGGUAGU